rnacentral:rRNA from 1 species
AAUUCGAUUAGAGUUUGAUCCUGGCUCAGAUUGAACGCUGGCGGCAUGCCUUACACAUGCAAGUCGAACGGCAGCACGGGAGCUUGCUCCUGGUGGCGAGUGGCGAACGGGUGAGUAAUACAUCGGAACGUACCCAGGAGUGGGGGAUAACGUAGCGAAAGUUACGCUAAUACCGCAUAUUCUGUGAGCAGGAAAGCGGGGGAUCGCAAGACCUCGCGCUCUUGGAGCGGCCGAUGUCGGAUUAGCUAGUUGGUGAGGUAAAAGCUCACCAAGGCGACGAUCCGUAGCAGGUCUGAGAGGAUGAUCUGCCACACUGGGACUGAGACACGGCCCAGACUCCUACGGGAGGCAGCAGUGGGGAAUUUUGGACAAUGGGGGCAACCCUGAUCCAGCCAUGCCGCGUGAGUGAAGAAGGCCUUCGGGUUGUAAAGCUCUUUCGGCGGGGAAGAAAUGGCAACGGCUAAUAUCCGUUGUUGAUGACGGUACCCGCAUAAGAAGCACCGGCUAACUACGUGCCAGCAGCCGCGGUAAUACGUAGGGUGCGAGCGUUAAUCGGAAUUACUGGGCGUAAAGCGUGCGCAGGCGGUUUCGUAAGACAGACGUGAAAUCCCCGGGCUCAACCUGGGAACUGCGUUUGUGACUGCGAGGCUAGAGUACGGCAGAGGGGGGUAGAAUUCCACGUGUAGCAGUGAAAUGCGUAGAGAUGUGGAGGAAUACCGAUGGCGAAGGCAGCCC